UACAGAGGUCUCAAGCGUUGUUCGGAUUCAUUGGGCGUAAAGGGUGCGUAGGUGGCGCCGUAAGUCAGGUGUGAAAUUCGAGCGUAACUCCGAAACUGCAUUUGAUACUGCGGUGCUUGAGGACUGGAGAGGAGACUGGAAUUCACGGUGUAGCAGUGAAAUGCGUAGAUAUCGUGAGGAAGACCAGUGGCGAAGGCGGGUCUCUGGACAGUUCCUGACACUGAGGCACGAAGGCUAGGGGAGCAAACGGG
rnacentral:rRNA from 1 species